GAAUGUUUUUUUCUCCCCUAAUGUUUAUUUAUACCACUCUUCUCCCAACCAUAUAAUUAUGACUCAUUGAUUUAAAAUCGCAUUUUACGUAAAAUAAGAGAAUUUUUAGCUCUUGUUCAUGGAAGGAGAAGGAAACUUGGGAAAUAAUUAUGAAAGAAUGUUUAAAGAAGUAUCUAUCAAAAGAGAGGAUCAAUUAGAAGAGAUUCAUAACUCCAAGUUAUGCAAACCUUAAUGAUAGAUGGAAGAAAGAGAACAUAGCCAGUAGAGAAAGACAGUAAGAGGUAAGUGAAUACAAAAAUGUGGAGAAAAUAUCAGAUUUGGCAUUCAAGAGGUCAGGGAUCAUGUUUGACAGAGUAAUCUCAAGAGAACAAAGACCUUGAAAUUAGAUUGAAAUAAGUUUAUACUAACAAAUUUAAGAUUAAAAGAGAGAUCUGGCAAUUUAAAGAAGCAUGACCAAUUUAUUGUUAUUAUUACUUUAGGUAUAAGAAGAAAGUAGAUGAUAAAUCUUUUUUUUUUUUAGUAGAUGAUAAAUCUUAAAGAAAGUAAAAUGAUAGCAUUAAAAGAUAGAAACAGAAUUAGUUUGGUAAUGAUUGAGAACACUUCUUAAAGAUUGACAACAGGAAGGCAAGAAAUUAAAGAUACAAUUGCAAAUGUAUGAGAUGGGGGUAGCAACCUCAGAGCUUUUGGAAGGCUUGGAUGGAUUUGUUGAUUUUGGAUGGAGCACAGGAUAUGGAGAAGUUAUUUCUGAAAGACAAAGGAUUGUAGUGAAUCUCUGAAGGCAGAUGGAUUUUUGUGUAGGAGAAAAGGUUAUUAUAGAGUGUGGUGACUUCAGAUAUGGGGGUGGAGAGUUAAGGAGAGUGGAGGAAAUUUUGCAGACUCUUGCAACUAAUAUCAGGGAGUAACACAUAUGAAAUGGACUAAAAAAAUUUUGAACAGGUAAGGGCAUACUAGAGACUAAAAAAGAAUUUAAUAAUAUAAAAAAAGCCUAAUUGAGUACUUUAGACUUUUCUAAUGAUACUCAAAAUAAUUAACCCAUCUCUUUUAUAUUUGAUCAUCUUUAAAUGAACAUCAGAAAUUACACCCUGCAGAAUUCUUACCCACUACUUCUGGGAAAGCAAAUGUGACCAUUAAACUUAAUUAAUGGGAGACACCUAGGAGAUUAGUAAAGCAUACUUCUGGAUGUGUCUGGGUAGAUUUUGAAGGUGUGACUUUGGUUACUGGCUUUGGUCCCUGGUCCCCUACUCUAGUGUUUCUUUCCAGCUGUGCCUCCAGGCCAGUACGAACUAAGCAGCUUUGCUUCACUACAUCCUUCUUCCAUGAUAUUCCUGCCUUGGAGCCAGCUCAUCACGGACUGAAUCCUCUGAAGCUUAAAAAGUUAUCAGAGUGUUAAAUCUCAACUCUGAAAGGAAGGAGAAUGCAAAUGAGAGAAUAUCCAUUUACCACAACAUUCUCUGUGA
rnacentral:lncRNA from 1 species